AGUGACCUGCCUUGGAGUGGGGAAUAACACAGUGAAAACUGUGCUAAUACCGCAUAAUGCAUUUGGGUCGCAUGAUUCUGAAUGCCAAAGAUUUAUCGCUCUGAGAUGGACUCGCGUCUGAUUAGCUAGUUGGCGGGGUAACGGCCCACCAAGGCGACGAUCAGUAGCCGGACUGAGAGGUUGGCCGGCCACAUUGGGACUGAGACACGGCCCAG
rnacentral:rRNA from 1 species